UGAGCAAUCUGCCCUUCUCAUCGGAAUAAGCGUUGGAAACGACGUCUAAUGCCGAAUACGACCUCCUUUCGCAUGAUCGGAGGUGGAAAGCUCCGGCGGAGAAGGAUGAGCUCGCGGCCUAUCAGCUAGUUGGUGUGGGUAAUGGCCCACCAAGGCGACGACGGGUAGCCGACCUGAGAGGGUGAUCGGCCACAUUGGGACUGAGAUACGGCCCAGACUCCGUAGGGAGG
rnacentral:rRNA from 1 species